UGGGGAAUUUUGGACAAUGGGCGAAAGCCUGAUCCAGCAAUGCCGCGUGUGUGAAGAAGGCCUUCGGGUUGUAAAGCACUUUUGUCCGGAAAGAAAUCCUUGGCUCUAAUACAGUCGGGGGAUGACGGUACCGGAAGAAUAAGCACCGGCUAACUACGUGCCAGCAGCCGCGGUAAUACGUAGGGUGCAAGCGUUAAUCGGAAUUACUGGGCGUAAAGCGUGCGCAGGCGGUUUGCUAAGACCGAUGUGAAAUCCCCGGGCUCAACCUGGGAACUGCAUUGGUGACUGGCAGGCUAGAGUAUGGCAGAGGGGGGUAGAAUUCCACGUGUAGCAGUGAAAUGCGUAGAGAUGUGGAGGAAUACCGAUGGCGAAGGCAGCCCCCUGGGCCAAUACUGACGCUCAUGCACGAAAGCGCGGGGAGCAAACAGGAUUCAGAUACCCUGGUAGUCCACGCCCUAAACGAUGUCAACUAGUUGUUGGGGAUUCAUUUCCUUAGUAACGUAGCUAACGCGUGAAGUUGACCGCCUGGGGAGUACGGUCGCAAGAUUAAAACUCAAAUGAAUUGAC
rnacentral:rRNA from 1 species